CUACGUGCCAGCAGCCGCGGUAAUACGGAAGGUCCAGGCGUUAUCCGGAUUUAUUGGGUUUAAAGGGAGCGUAGGCCGGAGAUUAAGUGUGUUGUGAAAUGUAGACGCUCAACGUCUGACUUGCAGCGCAUACUGGUUUCCUUGAGUACGCACAACGUUGGCGGAAUUCGUCGUGUAGCGGUGAAAUGCUUAGAUAUGACGAAGAACUCCGAUUGCGAAGGCAGCUGACGGGAGCGCAACUGACGCUUAAGCUCGAAGGUGCGGGUAUCGAACAGGAUUAGAUACCCUGGUAGUCCGCACAGUAAACGAUGGAUGCCCGCUGUUGGUACCUGGUAUCAGCGGCUAAGCGAAAGCAUUAAGCAUCCCACCUGGGGAGUACGCCGGCAACGGUGAAACUCAAAGGAAUUGACGGGGGCCCGCACAAGCGGAGGAACAUGUGGUUUAAUUCGACGCAACGCGAAGAACCUUACCAGGUCUUGACAU
rnacentral:rRNA from 1 species